CUUCAGGAUCGCUAGGGUUCCGGUCGGGCGCUUUCAUGUGCACGAUGCCUGGUCCGAGAGCAAUCCGGUCUUGCCGUUCACCUUCUCUCAAGGCGCCGGCGAGGCUCCACGGAGGGAUAAAAGCCCGGGAGGU
rnacentral:sRNA from 1 species